AUCCUACCGACGAGUCCCAAAUAGGACGAAACGCGUAUCCCAGAU
rnacentral:hammerhead_ribozyme from 1 species